CGAUCGAAACCAUGCUCUUUCACUUUCGAUUAAUCCAAAACUAAAAGCUAAACAAAAGACGGUCAAAGUUCCGUUUUUUCUUUUCAUUGUAAAGUAAAGUACAUGUUGUCAUGGUUGUAGACAGCUAUUACUCUGUUAAUUGUAACUAACACGCAAUACUACAUGUAUGUAAAAUUAUAAAAAGUUUGCCAACGAAAUCCCCUGGUUUUAUUGGUAAUUAACCAUACAGGGCAG
rnacentral:lncRNA from 1 species